rnacentral:misc_RNA from 1 species
UACGUAGGCAGCAAGCGUUGUUCGGAGUUACUGGGCGUAAAGGGUGUGUAGGCGGUUGGAUAAGUGUGGUGCGAAAUCUCCCGGCUCAACUGGGAGGGUGCGCUACAAACUGUCUGGCUAGAGUGCGGGAUGGGAAAGUGGAAUUCCUGGUGUAGCGGUGAAAUGCGUAGAGAUGUGGAGGAACACCAGUGGCGAAGGCGACUCUUUGGCCUAUAACUGACGCUGAGGCGCGAAAGCGUGGGGAGCAAACAGG